UACGGAGGGUGCAAGCGUUAUCCGGAUUCACUGGGUUUAAAGGGUGCGUAGGUGGGCAGGUAAGUCAGUGGUGAAAUCUCCGGGCUUAACCCGGAAACUGCCAUUGAUACUAUCUGUCUUGAAUAUCGUGGAGGUGAGCGGAAUAUGUCAUGUAGCGGUGAAAUGCUUAGAUAUGACAUAGAACACCAAUUGCGAAGGCAGCUCACUAAACUGUAACUGACGCUGAGGCACGAAAGCGUGGGGAUCAAACAGG
rnacentral:rRNA from 1 species